AGAGUUUGAUCCUGGCUCAGAAUGAACGCUGGCGGCGUGCUUAACACAUGCAAGUCGUACGAGAAAUCUUCUGCUUGCAGGAGAGAGUAAAGUGGCGUACGGGUGAGUAAUGCGUGGGUAAUCUACCCUUGAAUUCGGGAUAACAUGUCGAAAGGUGUGCUAAUACCGGAUGAAGUCCAUGUAGUUUUGAUUAUAUGGAUGAAAGAUGGCCUCUACAUGUAAGCUAUUGUUUGGGGAUGAGCCUGCGUACCAUUAGCUAGUUGGUGGGGUAAGAGCCUACCAAGGCGACGAUGGUUAGCUGGUCUGAGAGGAUGAUCAGCCACACUGGAACUGGAACACGGUCCAGACUCCUACGGGAGGCAGCAGUGAGGAAUUUUGCGCAAUGGGGGGAACCCUGACGCAGCAACGCCGCGUGAGUGAUGAAGGCUUUCGGGUCGUAAAGCUCUGUCGAUCGGGAAGAAGGUGCAUCAAGUGAACAGGUUGAUGUAUUGACGGUACCGAAGGAGGAAGCCACGGCUAACUACGUGCCAGCAGCCGCGGUAAUACGUAGGUGGCAAGCGUUGUCCGGAAUGAUUGGGCGUAAAGGGCGCGCAGGCGGGAUAUUAAGUCGGUUGUCUAAAUGCGGGGCUCAACCCCGUACCGGCAACGGAAACUGGUAUUCUUGAGUGCAGGAGAGGAAAGUGGAAUUCCCAGUGUAGCGGUGAAAUGCGUAGAUAUUGGGAGGAACACCAGUGGCGAAGGCGACUUUCUGGACUGUGUCUGACGCUGAGGCGCGAAAGCCCAGGGGAGUGAACGGGAUUAGAUACCCCGGUAAUCCUGGCCGUAACGAUGGGUACUAGGUGUAGGGGGUAUCGACCCCUCCUGUGCCGGAGUUAACGCAAUAAGUACCCCGCCUGGGGGAGUACGGCCGCAAGGUUUGAAACUCAAAGGAAUUGACGGGGGCCCGCACAAGCGGUGGAGUAUGUUGGUUUAAUUCGACGCAACGCGAAGAACCUUUACCAGGGCUUGACAUGGAGUUGAAAGGUCUAGAGAUGAUCCCUCUCCUUCGGGAGACACAAACACAGGUGGUGCAUGGCCUGUCGUCAGCUUCUGUUCGUGAGAAUGUUUGGGUUAAGUCCCGCAACGACGCAACCCUUAUUCCUAUGUUUGCCAGCGAGAUUAAGCCCGGAAACUUCUUUGGGAACUGCGUCGAACAAGAUCGAAGGAAGCGGGGGAUUGACUCUCAGAUUCACUUCUAUGUGCGCCCCUGAAUGGCUGCGGUG
rnacentral:rRNA from 1 species